rnacentral:rRNA from 1 species
AGCGAACGCUGGCGGCAGGCCUAACACAUGCAAGUCGAACGGACCCUUCGGGGUUAGUGGCGGACGGGUGAGUAACACGUGGGAACGUGCCUUUAGGUUCGGAAUAGCUCCUGGAAACGGGUGGUAAUGCCGAAUGUGCCCUUCGGGGGAAAGAUUUAUCGCCUUUAGAGCGGCCCGCGUCUGAUUAGCUAGUUGGGGAGGUAACGGCUCACCAAGGCGACGAUCAGUAGCUGAUCUGAGAGGAUGACCAGCCACACUGGGACUGAGACACGGCCCAGACUCCUACGGGAGGCAGCAGUGGGGAAUCUUGCGCAAUGGGCGAAAGCCUGACGCAGCCAUGCCGCGUGAAUGAUGAAGGUCUUAGGAUUGUAAAAUUCUUUCACCGGGGACGAUAAUGACGGUACCCGGAGAAGAAGCCCCGGCUAACUUCGUGCCAGCAGCCGCCGUAA